rnacentral:rRNA from 1 species
UACGGAGGGGGCCAGCGUUGUUCGGAAUUAUUGGGCGUAAAGCGCGCGUAGGCGGUUACUCAAGUCGGAUGUGAAAGCCCUCGGCUUAACUGAGGAAGUGCACCCGAAACUGAGUAGCUAGAGUACUAAAGAGGGUCGCGGAAUUCCCGGUGUAGAGGUGAAAUUCGUAGAUAUCGGGAGGAACACCGGUGGCGAAGGCGGCGACCUGGGUAGAUACUGACGCUGAGGCGCGAAAGCGUGGGGAGCAAACAGG